GAAAUUUCUCCCUUCAACUCAGUAACAUCAGUACACAGAUACAACACUCUUAAACUGAAUUUUAACCAAAAGAUAGCAGAGAGGAGCCAAAAAAGCUUCAUAAUAGUAAAAAACAGAAGUUGCAAAACAAAAAAUGCAGAACAAGGUAAGAAUACUAAAUAUAUCUAAUGAGAAUUUAUGAUCAAGAUAUGGAUAGGUUCCUGCUCCUUUGAUUGGUGACUAAUGCAUUUCCUAAAAUUUAAACUUAGCCAGUUUUCUCACUUUUCUCCAGUCCCAAAUUAUUCGGAAAUGAUUGACAAGCAAAACGGGAGCUGACACGAAAGGUAAGAGA
rnacentral:misc_RNA from 1 species